UACAGAGGUCUCAAGCGUUGUUCGGAUUCAUUGGGCGUAAAGGGUGCGUAGGCGGCGUGGUAAGUCGGGUGUGAAAUCUCGGAGCUUAACUCCGAAACUGCAUUCGAUACUGCCGUGCUUGAGGACUGGAGAGGAGACUGGAAUUUACGGUGUAGCGGUGAAAUGCGUAGAUAUCGGGAGGAACACCUGUGGCGAAAGCGGCUCACUAGACCACAACUGACGCUGAGGCACGAAAGCUAGGGGAGCAAACAGG
rnacentral:rRNA from 1 species